AGCAGCCGCGGUAAUUCCAGCUCCAAUAGCGUAUAUUAAAGUUGUUGCAGUUAAAAAGCUCGCAGUUGAAUUUCGGGAUCAGUACGCCGGUCGUGCCUUCGGUAUGCACUGGUGUCACUGGUUUCUCCCUUCUGAAGAACCAUCAUGCCAUUCAGUUGGUGUGGCGGGGAAUCAGGACUGUUACUUUGAAAAAAUUAGAGUGUUUAAAGCAGGCUCGCGCUUGAAUACAUUAGCAUGGAAUAAUGAAAUAGGACGUUUGACCCUAUUUUGUUGGUUUCUAGGAUUGACGUAAUGAUUAAUAGGGAUAGUUGGGGGCAUUAGUAUUCAAUUGUCAGAGUGAAAUUCUUGGAUUUAUUGAAGACUAACUACUGCGAAAGCAUUUGCCUAAGGGAUAGUUUUCUAUUAAUCAAGAACGAAAGUUAGGGGAUCGAAGACGAUCAGAUACCGUCGUAGUCUUAACCAUAAACUAUGCGACUAGGGAUCGGAUGAUGUUAAUUAUUUAAUGACU
rnacentral:rRNA from 1 species